GAAUAUUAUGCAACAUUAGCAUAAACAACAUGUGUGACCUAUACAUAUCCUUUCUGUUGUGCAAUCUAUCACAAAAUGGAAUAGGGAAAACCAGCUAAAUGGCCAAGAAAAAUGAAAACAAAAAGGAGUUCACUGCAUUCCAUACACAUUUAUAGCUUCAUAUAUCCGAGAUCAUUAUUCGCGCUUGAAGCUUUAAAAUACAUUCAGAGAGCUCUUGCAAUAUCUGCUCUGUCCAAUCUGAGAUGGUGGAAUUCUGCUUCCACAAUUGUACCACUUCAAUAGGAUCUUCAAGACAAAAUUAGAUCUAAGGAAGUCAUACCCUGCAAAGUAGACUCGAGUUCACAUUGCACCAACAACUGAAGGAGGUGAGCACGAGUACAAGAGCACAGAGGCUCAUGGUUAAGUAAUGAUCACAUCACAAUACCAAAUACCUUGCUCAGUUGCGUCCUUGAGAAAUAAUUUCCUUAUGCUUUGUGAGCGUGUCCUGGAACUCCAAGCGUUUAGCAGACCUGAGAUCAACUACACUGGGAGGCAUUGGUUGAAGGGACCCAUGUAGCUCAACUAGUUUAAAGAAUCCCUCCUUAGUAAGACUUUUUUUCUCAACUAGUAUAUCGACAACUGCAUCCAUAAGGUUUCGAUUUUGAUGAAGGAUCUCUUUUGCACGAUCAUAGCACAUAUGUAAUACGUGAAGUGCCUCGGAAUCAAUGUCAUUUAUCCUAUCUGCAACCCAGAAGUCAGACAAACCAUAAUGUUUAUCAGACAGACCACCAAGAACAAAAGUCCGAGCCGCUG
rnacentral:misc_RNA from 1 species